rnacentral:rRNA from 1 species
CUUGUUGGUGGGGUAACGGCCCACCAAGGCGACGACGGGUAGCUGGUCUGAGAGGACGGCCAGCCACACUGGGACUGAGACACGGCCCAGACUCCUACGGGAGGCAGCAGUGGGGAAUCUUGCGCAAUGGGCGAAAGCCUGACGCAGCGACGCCGCGUGCGGGAAGAAGGCCUUCGGGCUGUAAACCGCUUUCAGGAGGGACGAAGCCACUCGGGUUAAUAGCCCAGAGGGUGACGGUACCUCCAGAAGAAGCCCCGGCUAACUACGUGCCAGCAGCCGCGGUAAUACGUAGGGGGCUAGCGUUGUCCGGAUUUAUUGGGCGUAAAGAGCGUGUAGGCGGCCAGAUAGGUCUGCUGUGAAAACUCGAGGCUCAACCUCGAGCUGUCGGCGGAAACCAUUUGGCUAGAGUCCGGAAGAGGAAAGUGGAAUUCCUGGUGUAGCGGUGAAAUGCGCAGAUAUCAGGAAGAACACCCGUGGCGAAGGCGGCUUUCUGGGACGGUACUGACGCUGAGACGCGAAAGCGUGGGGAGCGAACAGGAUUAGAUACCCUGGUAGUCCACGCUGUAAACGAUGGGUGCUAGGUGUGGGCGGUGUCGACUCCGUCCGUGCCGAAGCUAACGCAUUAAGCACCCCGCCUGGGGAGUACGGCCGCAAGGCUAAAACUCAAAGGAAUUGACG